CCUGAUUCAAAGUAACGAUGCCACUGUAUUUGUGUGAAGGACUAUCAUGCAUCACCUUUAGGACAACUAAGACAAAAUGGGAAAUACACUGUGAUACAGCAUGGCGAUUUGAUUCAUGGGGACUUCUACAAAGCCCAGCACAUGACAAAAAAAAAUGGAGUACAGUCUGAAAGAACAGGGAAAGCAACAUCAAAACCACAUAAAAAGAAAAUUCAAUCUCCGUAAACAAAUUGAAGUCGUAAGGACCACUGAAUUUUAAACAUUAAAUGGGAAAUUGUGUGUGAAUAUUUAAGAGCAUUUAUGGAGAAAAAAAAAUCACCCAUCAUGUACAGCACAUGUGAAGACACCACCUUAAGAGAGGAGGAGAAAGAAAUACCUUUUCAAGCAAAGGACAAGAUAAAGCAUAAG